rnacentral:rRNA from 1 species
CAAUAGCGUAUAUUAAAGUUGUUGCGGUUAAAAAGCUCGUAGUUGGAUUUCUGCUGAGAACGACCGGUCCGCCCUCUGGGUGUGUAUCUGGCUCUUUCUUGGCAUCUUCUUGGUGAACGUUGCUGCACUUGACUGUGUGGAGCGCUACCCAGGACUUUUACUUUGAGGAAAUUAGAGUGUUUAAAGCAGGCCUUCGCCUUGAAUACAUUAGCAUGGAAUAAUAAGAUAGGACUUUGGUCUAUUUUGUUGGUUUGCAGACCGAAGUAAUGAUUAAUAGGGAUAGUUGGGGGUAUUUAUAUUCCGAUGUCAGAGGUGAAAUUCUUAGAUUUUCGGAAGAUAGACUUAUGCGAAAGCAUUUACCAAGGAUGUUUUCAUUAA